rnacentral:tRNA from 1 species
GUAUCGGUAGCUCAGUUGGUAGAGCGGUCAGGCUCAUGCGGUUAGGGUACACGGAUUCACCUGACAGGUCGCUGGUUCGAGUCCAGCCCGGUUCU